AUUUCUAAAUGAUGUUGUCAUAGUUGCUGGAGAAGCUGACUUGAAGUAAUCGACGACCAAGAAGAUGUAGAGGGAUGCAUGAUGGACUUUGAAGUUGGACAUUGGACAGCACUCCGCCAUGAUUCCCGUGGGCCUCAAUGAUGGGUUGUACUUUUCUCUGGGCACAAACUCACGGGGGAUGAACAAAAAAGUCCCGUGACCACAAAUGCAAACACAAGUAGUAUUUUGGCUCGAUUGAUCGUCAAUCCAGGAACCACACGUUUGAUACAAAGAGUAGGGGUACAGUAAAGUACGGGACUGUUUUGAUGACCAGAAAUGCAUUACAGAAUGGGACCCUUAGUGUGCGCUUGGAGCGGACCAGACGCAACGGUUCCAAGAUGCUCGUAACAGAUCACAUGGGGAUAAACGUUUAAUUUGAACAUAAUUCGAACAUAAUUUAAACAUGUUUUAAAUUAAUGAACCUUUUAUUUUACCA